UCUUUACAUGGGAACUAGAAGAACACCUCACCCUCUCAAGUGCUUCAAAAAAAAAUGAAGUUAACCAUAUAUUUGUAAUUUUUAUGAAUUCCUGUAGAAAAUACAUAUUGUAUGCUUGUAGAGGGUCUGCACAGAUGUUUGGAAAAUUACUCUUGCACGGGAAGCUGCAUGAGGUCCCGGUCUGAGAAGAGUCGUAAGAGGAAGUCAUGGACAUCAUCAAGCUUUUCUGGCCCACCCAUGUUCAUCAUGAGAAUUCCAGUCUUCGGUUUCCUGGUACAAGCAGAACAUGAUGCAUUAAAUAUGUAGAAAACCA